GACGAACGCUGGCGGCGUGCUUAACACAUGCAAGUCGAACGGAAAGGCCUCUUUCGGGGGGUACACGAGUGGCGAACGGGUGAGUAACACGUGAGUAACCUGCCCUUGACUUUGGGAUAACUUCAGGAAACUGGGGCUAAUACCGGAUAGGAGCUCCUGCUGCACGGUGGGGGUUGGAAAGUUUCGGCGGUUGGGGAUGGACUCGCGGCUUAUCAGCUUGUUGGUGGGGUAGUGGCUUACCAAGGGUUUGACGGGUAGCCGGCCUGAGAGGGUGACCGGCCACAAUGGGACUGGGAUACGGCCCAGACUCCUACGGGAGGCAGCAGUGGGGAAUAUUGCACAAUGGGUGGAAGCCUGAUGCAGCAACGCCGGGUGCGGGAUGACGGCCUUCGGGUUGUAAACCGCUUUCGCUCAUGACGAAGCUUUGUGUGACGGUAGUGGGUAAAGAAGCACCGGCUAACUACGUG
rnacentral:rRNA from 1 species